AUUGAACGCUGGCGGAAUGCUAUACACAUGCAAGUCGAACGGCAGCGCGGACUUCGGUCUGGUGGCGAGUGGCGAACGGGUGAGUAACAUAUCGGAACGUAUCCAAUAAUGGGGGAUAACGAGUCGAAAGAUUCGCUAAUACCGCAUACGCCCUACGGGGGAAAGCUGGGGACCUUCGGGCCUGGCGUGAAUGGCGCGGCCGAUAUCUGAUUAGCUAGUGGGUGAGGUAAAGGCUCACCAAGGCGACGAUCAGUAGCUGGUCUGAGAGGACGACCAGCCACACUGGAACUGAGACACGGUCCAGACUCCUACGGGAGGCAGCAGUGGGGAAUUUUGGACAAUGGGCGCAAGCCUGAUCCAGCCAUUCCGCGUGAGUGAAGAAGGCCUUCGGGUUGUAAAGCUCUUUCGCAAGGGAAGAAAACUUAGCCACUAACAUUGGUUGAGGUUGACGGUACCUUGAUAAGAAGCACCGGCUAACUACGUGCCAGCCGCCGCCGUAA
rnacentral:rRNA from 1 species